CACUCUACUGACUUUGGCGGCACUCCGCGUAAACCGUGCUUUUUGGAUUUUCUCUUCUCUUUCCUUCAACUUUCUUUGCUCUGUUUCAAAAACAAAAGCAAAGCAAAUACAUUGAAAGGGAAGAAAGCAUCUUUACUCUCUUUGAUUUUUCGCUUUCGCUUGCGUUUGUCCUUCUCUUUAACCUCUCUACUGUACUAGACUCUCUGCAACUAACAAUUCACUCUUCUUCUUUUGUAUUUUUGCCCAAAACCCUAAUUCUUUUUUUAAAAGUAGAUGCUUGUUCUAGCGUUGCUGAGAUCGUUUUGAUUUUGAAGCUUCUCAUUUGGACAUCUGAAGAUUGUGCGAUUUGGUCUCAGAUCGGUUCUAAAGAACUUCUGCAAAAGUUGGGUGUAUACUGUUAGUUCUGAGGUGCCAUCAUCAAAUUUCUGUUUGGCUUUCUUUUCAAAUAUGGCUGGAGACUCCAAGGCGAGCCUUUCAAAUGGCACUGCUAAUAUACAGUCUGAUCCAAGAAGAACGUACCAAGUUGUUGUGGCUGCUACUAGGGACAUGGGUAUUGGAAAAGAAGGGAAGUUGCCAUGGAGAUUGCCUUCUGAUCUCAAAUUCUUCAAGGAUGUUACUCUGACUACUUCUGAUUCUGGAAGAAAGAAUGCAGUAAUAAUGGGUAGAAAAACAUGGGAAAGUAUUCCACUUGAGCAUCGUCCUCUUCCUGGUCGCCUUAAUGUUGUUCUGACUCGAUCUGGGAGUUUUGAUAUUGCUACUGCUGAGAAUGUAGUGAUAUGUGGAAGCUUAACUUCUGCUCUGGAAUUAUUGGCUGCAUCUCCUUACUGCCUAUCAAUUGAGAAAGUCUUUAUCAUUGGAGGUGGCCAAAUAUUAAGGGAAUCUCUCAACGCACCUGGGUGUGAUGCUAUCCACAUCACAGAAAUCGAGACAAGCAUUGAUUGUGAUACUUUUAUCCCUAAAAUUGAUUCUUCUGUCUUUCAACCUUGGUAUUCAUCCUUUCCCAUUGUAGAAAACAAUGUAAGAUAUUGCUUUGCAACUUAUGUACGAGUGAGGGUUUCUGCGGUUGAGUCCCAUGGUCAAGAUAAUGGUCUGAGCUCUGAUAAUAGUUACAUUAAGUUUGAGGUAAAGAAGUUCUCUUUCCUUCCAAAGAUGGUUUUUGAGAGACAUGAGGAGUUCUUGUACCUGAGACUUGUCCAAGACAUUAUCUCAGAUGGCAAUUUGAAGGAUGACAGAACCGGAACUGGUACUUUGUCCAAGUUUGGAUGCCAGAUGCGGUUCAAUUUGCGUAGAACUUUUCCGCUGCUGACAACAAAGAAAGUAUUCUGGAGAGGGGUUGUUGAAGAACUUCUGUGGUUCAUUAGUGGCUCAACAAAUUGCAAGGUCCUUCAGGAAAAGGGCAUUCAUAUAUGGGACGGCAAUGCAUCCAGAGAUUACCUUGAUGGUAUUGGGUUGAAGGACAGGGAGGAGGGUGACUUAGGACCUGUUUAUGGAUUCCAGUGGAGGCAUUUUGGUGCUAGGUAUACUGACAUGCAUGCUGACUAUACUGGCCAAGGAUUUGAUCAGUUGUUAGAUGUUAUUGACAAGAUUAAGAAUAAUCCAGAUGAUCGUCGAAUUAUUCUUUCAGCUUGGAAUCCUUCCGAUCUCAAAUUGAUGGCACUUCCUCCCUGCCACAUGUUUGCUCAAUUCUAUGUAGCCAACGGGGAGUUGUCUUGUCAAAUGUAUCAGCGAUCUGCUGACAUGGGUCUGGGUGUGCCAUUCAACAUUGCAUCUUAUGCGCUCUUGACAUGCAUUGUGUCUCAUGUUUGUGAUCUUGUUCCUGGUGAUUUUGUUCAUGUGCUUGGCGAUGCUCAUGUUUAUCGGACUCAUGUCAGGCCUCUCCAGGAGCAGCUUCAGAAACCGCCAAAGCCUUUUCCAAUUUUGAAGAUUAAUCCGGAGAAGAAAAACAUAGAUUCUUUUGUAGCAGCUGAUUUCAAACUCAUAGGUUAUGAUCCUCAUCAAAAAAUUGAAAUGAAAAUGGCAAUAUAGGGCUCCAUUAAAGUUUCAGACAACUCAGAUACUUGGUUUCUCCUGGGCAAUGUUUGCAUGUAGUUUUGAGGCAGGCACAGCAAUGGGAGGCUUUAACUUGCUACACUGUUAACAAGUAAAAAUAAAAAAAUUGGUAAUUGGAUAUACUUGAACCUUUUCUUAUUUAGAGAGGAAUCCUUUAGUUCCAGACUUGGUGGGGUCUAAGGUGAUUUAGGAUGUCUGUAUUUUCUUGCUCUACGAGUUCAGUUUUCCUCUAUUACUUGGGAAUAUCUUUUUAUUGCUACAAAUGCUAAAAUCAUACAUUGCGUUUGGAAUGGAUUGGUUAUGGACUUAAUGAACUUUCAUGGUUUUCUUUUUUUC